rnacentral:rRNA from 1 species
AUGCGGUUAGGGUUCCUCCGCCUUACGCUGCCGCCUUCCGGUGUGUUCGCCCGACUCAGUCUUCUUCACCUCUUUCAGCUCCGGCUGCAUGAUGAUUAUGAUCAAAACUCCGUCAAGCUUGGCGAGAUGGCACACCUACAACGGCUUGACGUCCAACAAUUUAUCGUAUAUGGAAAGGACUACAUUAUUGCUUCGCACAACCGUAAUUGUGCGCUUCUUUUGCGGCGCUUUGAACGCCUACACAGUCUUGUUAUCACUCUUCAUUGCCCCCCGGACAUAGCUAACAAGAAAUACUUGAUGGAAGAUAUAACAAGGGUUCCUGAUGUUAAAUUAUUGGGAUUGGGCAUAACAGCAUGUGGACAUUCCUUUGGAGCCAGCUUAUUUCAUGUUCUGAGGAUGUGUACUGCAAUAAGAAGGCUGAAUCUUGGUCUUAUCGUCGCACCUGAACACGAGGCAGAAACUGUGUGCCCAUCAGGUUGUAUAUGUGAUCAGCCGCCAAGCUGGAAAACCAGGGAACUCGUGUUGAAUUGCCUCGAAGAAGUAGAAAUAUUUGACUUGAAAGGAAGUGAGCAUGAAAUCAGUGUUGUGAAUCGUCUAUUCAGUUGGGCACCGGUGCUAAAAAGGAUGACAGUAAAUUUCCAUUACUCGGUCACGGAAAACAAAGCUGAAGAGCUCUGCCAAGUGUUACUAACCUUUUCCAGGCCGGAAAUAUGUAUGAUUUGUAGGAUGCCCAACAUGUCGGAGAAAGUUUUGCAUGCUUAA